CCUACGGGAGGCAGCAGUGAGGAAUAUUGGUCAAUGGACGAGAGUCUGAACCAGCCAAGUAGCGUGAAGGAUGACUGCCCUAUGGGUUGUAAACUCCUUUUAUAUGGGAAUAAAAUGUUCCACGUGUGGGAUUUUGUAUGUAUCAUAUGAAUAAGGCUCGGCAACUCCGUGCCAGCAGCCGCGGUAAUACGGAGGUUCCGAGCGUUAUCCGGAUUUAUUGGGUUUAAAGGGGGCGUAGAUGGGUUGUUAAGUCAGUUGUGAAAGUUUGCGGCUCAACCGUAAAAUUGCAAUUGAUACUGGCAGUCUGGAGUGCAGUUGAGGUAGGCGGAAUUCGUGGUGUAGCGGUGAAAUGCUUAGAUAUCACGAAGAACUCCGAUGGCGAAGGCAGCUUGCUAAACUGCCACUGACAUUGAGGCUCGAAAGUGUGGGGAUCAAACAGGAUUAGAUACCCGGGUAGUC
rnacentral:rRNA from 1 species